rnacentral:rRNA from 1 species
UAGGGAAUCUUCCGCAAUGGACGCAAGUCUGACGGAGCAACGCCGCGUGAGUGAAGAAGGAUUUCGGUUCGUAAAACUCUGUUGUUAGAAGAACAGCGCAUAGAGUAACUGUUAUGCGUGUGACGGUAUCUAACCAGAAAGCCACGGCUAACUACGUGCCAGCAGCCGCGGUAAUACGUAGGUGGCAAGCGUUGUCCGGAUUUAUUGGGCGUAAAGCGAGCGCAGGCGGUCAAUUAAGUCUGAUGUGAAAGCCCCCGGCUCAACCGGGGAGGGUCAUUGGAAACUGUUUAACUUGAGUGCAGAAGGGGAGAGUGGAAUUCCAUGUGUAGCGGUGAAAUGCGUAGAUAUAUGGAGGAACACCGGUGGCGAAAGCGGCUCUCUGGUCUGUAACUGACGCUGAGGCUCGAAAGCGUGGGGAGCGAACAGG